rnacentral:rRNA from 1 species
UACGUAGGGUGCGAGCGUUAAUCGGAAUUACUGGGCGUAAAGCGUGCGCAGGCGGUUCGUUAAGUCAGAUGUGAAAGCCCCGAGCUCAACUUGGGAACUGCAUUUGAAACUGGCGGGCUGGAGUGUGGCAGAGGGGGGUGGAAUUCCACGUGUAGAGGUGAAAUUCGUAGAUAUUCGGAAGAACACCAGUGGCGAAGGCGACUCACUGGACACAUAUUGACGCUGAGGUGCGAAAGCGUGGGGAGCAAACAGG